GAAGCUGACCAGACAGUCGCCGCUUCGUCGUCGUCCUCCUUCGGGGGAGACGGGCGGAGGGGAGGAAAGUCCGGGCUCCAUAGGGCAGGGUGCCAGGUAACGCCUGGGGGGCGCAAGCCUACGACCAGUGCAACAGAGAGCAAACCGCCGAUGGCCCGCGCAAGCGGGAUCAGGUAAGGGUGAAAGGGUGCGGUAAGAGCGCACCGCGCGUCUGGCAACAGUUCGCGGCACGGUAAACUCCACCCGG
rnacentral:RNase_P_RNA from 1 species